GCGGGCGUCGUAUAAUGGUUAUUACUCAAGCUUCCCAAGCUUGAAAUGCGGGUUCGAUUCCCGCCGCCCGCUCCA
rnacentral:tRNA from 1 species